GCUCAACCGGGGAGGGUCAUUGGAAACUGGGAAACUUGAGUGCAGAAGAGGAGAGUGGAAUUCCACGUGUAGCGGUGAAAUGCGUAGAGAUGUGGAGGAACACCAGUGGCGAAGGCGACUCUCUGGUCUGUAACUGACGCUGAGGAGCGAAAGCGUGGGGAGCGAACAGGAUUAGAUACCCUGGUAGUCCACGCCGUAAACGAUGAGUGCUAAGCGUUAGGGGGUUUCCGCCCCUUAGUGCUGCAGCUAACGCAUUAAGCACUCCGCCUGGGGAGUACGGUCGCAAGACUGAAACUCAAAGGAAUUGACGGGGGCCCGCACAAGCGGUGGAGCAUGUGGUUUAAUUCGAAGCAACGCGAAGAACCUUACCAGGUCUUGACAUCCUCUGACAACCCUAGAGAUAGGGCUUUCCCUUCGGGGACAGAGUGACAAGUGGUGCAUGGUUGUCGUCAGCUCGUGUCGUGAGAUGUUGGGUUAAGUCCCGCAACGAGCGCAACCCUUGAUCUUAGUUGCCAGCAUUCAGUUGGGCACUCUAAGGUGACUGCCGGUGACAAACCGGAGGAAGGUGGGGAUGACGUCAAAUCAUCAUGCCCCUUAUGACCUGGGCUACACACGUGCUACAAUGGACAGAACAAAG
rnacentral:rRNA from 1 species